rnacentral:lncRNA from 1 species
AGAGGCGCGACUAGGCGCAGGCACCCGAAGGCGCAAUACAAAGACGAAGCUCGCUUCUAUAACAAAAUACAUGUCGACAUGGCCAACAUUAGCAUAGCAGAAUACCAAGAGACAUCAUACUUCAAAAAUUAUCCAGUCACUAAUUUACAGAACAGAUUAUCAAGUUUCAAAAAUUCAUUUUGCUAAAAGAACUUGUCAAUCACAGUUGAAGCUCAAUUUACAGAAAUAUUUAAUAAUAUACUUAACCCUUAAUUUUAAAAUCUACAAAAUAAGAUUUUCAUAUAAUCGAAAUAUUUUCCUAAAUUAUAUUACGAAAAACUAACAGGUGUCCGGUCGCUUACCUCAAAAGCGGCUUCUAAGUUAAGAAGCUAUCCAAUC